rnacentral:rRNA from 1 species
GAUGAACGCUAUCGGCAGGCCUAAUACAUGCAAGUCGAGGGGUAGAGAGAGCUUGCUUUCUUGAGACCGGCGCACGGGUGCGUAACGCGUAUGCAACCUACCUUUAUCUGGGGGAUAGCCCGGAGAAAUCCGGAUUAAUACCGCAUAAAAUCACAGAAUAGCAUUAUUUAAUGAUCAAACAUUUAUGGGAUGAAGAUGGGCAUGCGUGUCAUUAGCUAGUUGGCGGGGUAACGGCCCACCAAGGCGACGAUGACUAGGGGAUCUGAGAGGAUGGCCCCCCACACUGGUACUGAGACACGGACCAGACUCCUACGGGAGGCAGCAGUAAGGAAUAUUGGUCAAUGGAGGCAACUCUGAACCAGCCAUGCCGCGUGCAGGAAGACUGCCCUAUGGGUUGUAAACUGCUUUUAUCCGGGAAUAAACCUUUCUACGUGUAGGAAGCUGAAUGUACCGGAAGAAUAAGGAUCGGCUAACUCCGUGCCAGCAGCCGCGGUAAUACGGAGGAUCCAAGCGUUAUCCGGAUUUAUUGGGUUUAAAGGGUGCGUAGGCGGCCUGUUAAGUCAGGGGUGAAAGACGGUAGCUCAACUAUCGCAGUGCCCUUGAUACUGAUGGGCUUGAAUGGACUAGAGGUAGGCGGAAUGAGACAAGUAGCGGUGAAAUGCAUAGAUAUGUCUCAGAACACCGAUUGCGAAGGCAGCUUACUAUGGUCUUAUUGACGCUGAGGCACGAAAGCGUGGGGAUCAAACAGGAUUAGAUACCCUGGUAGUCCACGCCCUAAACGAUGAACACUCGCUGUUGGCGAUACACAGUCAGCGGCUAAGCGAAAGCGUUAAGUGUUCCACCUGGGGAGUACGCCCGCAAGGGUGAAACUCAAAGGAAUUGACGGGGGCCCGCACAAGCGGAGGAGCAUGUGGUUUAAUUCGAUGAUACGCGAGGAACCUUACCCGGGCUUGAAAGUUAGUGAAUGAUCUAGAGAUAGAUCAGUGAGCAAUCACACGAAACUAGGUGCUGCAUGGCUGUCGUCAGCUCGUGCCGUGAGGUGUUGGGUUAAGUCCCGCAACGAGCGCAACCCCUAUGUUUAGUUGCCAGCAUGUAAUGAUGGGGACUCUAAACAGACUGCCUGUGCAAACAGAGAGGAAGGAGGGGACGACGUCAAGUCAUCAUGGCCCUUACGUCCGGGGCUACACACGUGCUACAAUGGAUGGUACAGAGGGCAGCUAGCCGGCAACAGUAUGCGAAUCUCACAAAGCCAUUCACAGUUCGGAUUGGGGUCUGCAACUCGACCCCAUGAAGUUGGAUUCGCUAGUAAUCGCGUAUCAGCAAUGACGCGGUGAAUACGUUCCCGGGCCUUGUACACACCGCCCGUCAAGCCAUGGAAGUUGGGGGUAUCUAAAGUAUGUAACCGCAAGGAGCGUCCUAGGGUAAAACCGGUAACUGG